UACAGAGGGUGCUAGCGUUGUUCGGAGUUACUGGGCGUAAAGGGUGUGUAGGCGGUUGUUUAAGUUUGGUGUGAAAUCUCCCGGCUCAACUGGGAGGGUGCGCCGAAUACUGAAUGACUUGGAGUGCGGGAGAGGUGAGUGGAAUUCCUGGUGUAGCGGUGAAAUGCGUAGAUAUCAGGAGGAACACCGGUGGUGUAGACGGCUCACUGGACCGUAACUGACGCUGAGACACGAAAGCGUGGGUAGCAAACAGG
rnacentral:rRNA from 1 species